rnacentral:rRNA from 1 species
ACGGCCGUACCAUGCUGAAUAUACCGGUUCUCGUUAGAUCACCGAAGUCAAGCAUCAUUGGGCGCAGUCAGUACUCGGGUGGGUGACCACCUGGGAACACCGCGUGCCGUU